GGGCCCGUAAGUCUCGUUUACUUUCACUUUCGAUUUACCACUUCCGGGUACAUCGGCAGACUUAUUUACCGUUACGCAUAUAGGUAACCCGAAGAACUCGAGGGAUAUAGAAGUUAAAUUUGUUUCGGUCCUCUUCAGAUUUGAAGGAAUGGAUAGCACGGGUCAAAAAAUGCAGAUGUAUAGACAAGGAGGUAUAUGACAAGUAUAGAAUAUACAGUUGUUCAAUAUGGACCAUUAAUCAACUGUUUGCACUGCCUAUGAUCCUGAAAUAUCUAUACAUCAAAGAUAAAAAGGGAAAAGAUGAAGGAGGAUUUGUCCAUGAAGACCUUUAUUGCAACUACCAUCUUCCAGUUCAUUAAUUUGAGAAUGAUAUCAGAGAACACACGGUUACAGUGAAAUAUAAGUUUAAUAUAAGCCACUGAGAAUAGUCAAAUGUACUUUCCUGAAGAAGAUGAAUGACAUCCAGCACAAAAAUCUUAAUGUAUAAAGAGUAUGAUUUUAUGGUGUUUGACACUAUGAUCUUGUUAACAUGUUAAUGUCACAAUGAUAGAAACAGAGUAAAAUAUCCACAUUUCAUUGCAGUUUUAAGUAUUAAAACUAGAUACUCUAUAUAUACCAAAGCUGAUAACACACCAGAGAUAAGUUUUUUCAUGGAAUCACAGUAUAGUCAUAUGACAUUAUGGACAUUAAAUGACUAUGAAGUAAAGAUUAGCAAAAACAUUAUAUAUCAUCUACUACUAAUAUUGUGAGGUAAUCAUUGAUAAGCUCACAAAUUUGCAUUCAAAGCUUUGAUAUCAAGCUGAACAUUUUUCAAUUAGAAUAUGAUUUAUAACUCUAUGAUAAUUUGUUCAUGUUAAUUUUCAAAGUCUUUACAUUUGUAAAAGGACAUAUUCUUAUUCUUGUAUCAGUAGACAUUCACAGUGUAAAGUUACAUUGUCCAAAUAACUAAUAAUAAUUCCAAGUGCUUUCCUGAAGUUUUUGUUGCACUGGAA